CUGUAACGAUCACUAUUCGUUACUGGUUGGUUUUUCCUUUCAUUUUAUUUUAUCUCUGUCCGUAGUCUAAGGUGACCGUUGGUUUUUUAAAUUGAGGCGCCUAACGGUUCAGUUUUAAGCUUCGCGCUUGUGCGCUCGAGUUUGAAUUUCCCACCCUUCCCUCCUCGUGACGUUUCUCAUACCAUUUGAAUUUGGCGCGGAGUGCCGCCAUGUCUGUUUCUCAUAUUGGAGAUUGGCGCGCUAAGCGGCCAUGACAGUUUGCCAUACUGGUCCUUUUGGCGCGCGGCGUCACGGGAACGUUCUCGGAAGCAGAGAGAGCGGAGAGUCAGUUUCCGGUUGUCAGUCCGGUGAGAAUGACGGGAGUAGAGAGCAUGUUUUUUUAAUCUUUAAUCAUCGGAGAUAUCUUUUGAGUGGAGAACUGCUGGAGUUCAGUUUUAUGCUUUAGGGCAUUUAUAUUUUAAUUGAAGAUAAGUUGGUGCUGUUUUAUUUUGAUGUUCCAAGCCUUUUUCUACUAUGUGCUGGCUCACAUUCUUUUAUGUAUUGGAACAUGUUUUGAUGAACCCGAUGUGCACUGUGGUGAUUUCCUGACUGGAUCCCAGUGUUUAUUUUACACCUGAUCGGUGA